rnacentral:ncRNA from 1 species
UAAAGUUUUAUUUUGGCUUAUAAGUUUAUUAUUAGUUUAAUUUAUAUGUAAAUUUUUGUAUGAAAUUUUAUUUAUUUUAAUAAUAAAUAAAUAAAUUAUUUUAUUCGCAGUAAUUAGUAUUAUUAAUUAAAGAAAUUUAGAAAUAGUAAUAUUAAAGAGUAUUGGCUAAAUUUGUGCCAGCAGCCGCGGUUAUACGAAUUAUGCAAAUAAAUUAUUUUAGUUUAAGUUAAAUUGUAUUUAUUAUUAAUUAAAAAUGAUUUUAUUAAGUGAAAUUUUAAAAUUGUAAAAUUUAAUUGUUUAAUAAUUGAAGCUUAAAAAUUUUAAUUAUAAACUAGGAUUAGAUACCCUAUUAUUUAAAAUGUAAAUUUAAAAACUAAGGUAGUAGUAGUUAUGUUCUUGAAACUUAAAAAAUUUGGCGGUAUUUUAGUCUAUUCAGAGGAACUUGUUUCAUAAUCGAUAUUCCACGAUGGACCUUACUUAAUUUUGUAAUCAGUUUAUAUACCGUCGUUAUUAGAAUAUUUUAUAAGAAUGUUAAUUUUCAAAAUUUUUAAAAAGAAAAUAUAUCAGAUCAAGGUGUAGCUUAUAUUUAAGUGUAAAUGGGUUACAAUAAAUUUAUUUAUACGAAUAUAAAUAUGAAAAAUUUAUUGAAGGUGGAUUUGAUAGUAAAAUUAUAAAGAUAAAUAAUUUGAUUUUAGCUCUAAAAUAUGCACACAUCGCCCGUCGCUUUUACUAUUAAGGUAAAAUAAGUCGUAACAUAGUAGAUGUACUGGAAAGUGUACCUAGAAUGC